AGCAGGGUGGCUCAGUGGAAAGAGCCCGGGCUUGGGGGUCUGAGGUCAUGGGUUCGAAUCCCGGCUCUGCAA
rnacentral:tRNA from 1 species